AAAUGAUGCUAGCUGAGCCAUGACGUCACACUAGUUGACACAAUUUAAAGUAAGUUAAAAUGCAAUGUGAGCCACACUAAAAAAUGUAUCUUCAAAUAUCAGUUUCACGCCGACGUCUCAUCUCUGGCGUUCAUCUGUAGUAUUUAAAGCCGCCACCAGGUGGCAGUAGAGUCCAACACCCUGAGAGCCCAUGCAGGUCACCUGGUUGAUGCCAGAGGGAGUGCGGUUGCUUAUAGGUGGUCCACUUUUAGACCAUGUUGCAAUCUCGCCAACAAUUUGGCCUACUGGUACUAUUAAGACAGUCUCGUGUUACAAGUGUACUGAAGCUGUGAAUAGAUCCCUGUUUGAGUCGAGUUGUGAUUUACUGUGCCAGGAUUAGCUAAUCUACAUCUGACGCGAGGGGUUUUAAAGAAGAAACGUAUGGUGUCUUUGAGGGCUUAUGAGGCGCCACGCUAAAUGUCCCAUGCCUUUUAAGGGAGAAAACUCAAAUUAAAAACUGCUUUUAUCUUGAUUCUCGUUGCGUCUCGGCUGUCUGAUUUCAGAGGCUGAUACUUCUGAGAAAUGGCCACAGUUGUUGCUCCGUGGUGACUCAUCGACUUCACCUUCUCUUAUUGCUGCCGGGGCCCCGGGUCCACUGUUUGCUGGAGGGAUACAGCACCUGUCAAUCUAAGAAGCUCACCCCGUGGUCCAACUGUCAAGUGUGACGGUCAUUGGAGCCCCCGUAGACAGCAGGGACUUCAGUGGGACGAGAUGCCAUUGACACUUGAGUCGGUGUCCUUUCAAGUUUCUGUUUUAUUUUCAGGGUUCAAGUGGUGAGCUCUUGAAGUCGAGGCGCUUAACCAGCGUGGGAGUGACACUGAUAGAUAUGUGUGACUUCAAGAUGAAAGAAAUAUGUGUAUUUAAGAGGGAGAAGUUGGCCUGCAAAUAUUUUUUGAUCCGUAAUUGCCAAAAAAUCCUGGCUCCAAAUUAAAUGGGUAGGAUGUAUUUUGGGAUCAUUAGAGCAAUAUGUGAAGCAAAUCUUUAAUUAUGUUUCCUUUUUCUGCCGCGCCUGCUUCCACUAGUUGGUUUGUCAUGUAAGCAUAUUUGAAAUUCUCCCCAAAUGAGUUGUGUUGUUGUGAUUGAGCCUGAUUGGUACAAUAAAGCCAUUUCAUAUGUACUGAGUCAAAUAUUAAAAUGAAUACAUUGGU